UACGAAGGGUGCAAGCGUUAAUCGGAAUUACUGGGCGUAAAGCGCGCGUAGGCGGAUCGCUAAGUCAGGGGUGAAAUCCCAAGGCUCAACCUUGGAACUGCCUUUGAUACUGGCGAUCUGGAGAUCGGGAGAGGUGAGUGGAAUUCCGAGUGUAGAGGUGAAAUUCGUAGAUAUUCGGAGGAACACCAGAAGCGAAGGCGGCUCACUGGCCCGAUACUGACGCUGAGGCGCGAAAGCGUGGGGAGCAAACAGG
rnacentral:rRNA from 1 species